rnacentral:ncRNA from 1 species
GGGUCUGUCAGCGAGCGCUGGCGGAGGACAAUCCGGAUGGUCGAGCCGCCAUCCG